rnacentral:lncRNA from 1 species
AUGGUUCCUGCAUCCCAGCAUCAGGUAGUUGCAUCCUGGUAUGGGGCCUGCAUCCCAGUACAGGUACCUGCAUCCCAGCACUGGGGUCCUGCAUCCCAGCAUGGACACCUGCAUCCUGUUAUGGGGACCUGCAUCCUAGCAUGUGCACCUCCAUCCCAGUAUGUUACCUCCAUCCUGGUACCUGUGUCCCCGUAUGGUACAGGCAACCCAGUGUGGAUUCCUGCAUCACACUAUGGGUACCUGCAUCCCAGUACAGUACCUGCAUCCUGGUACGGGYACCUGCAUCCCAGUAGGGGUAUCAGCAUCCCUGUACAAGUACCAGCAUCCUGGAAUGGGUAUGAGUGUCUCUGUGCAAGCACCUGCAUCCCACCAUGGGUACCUACAGCCUGGUACAGGUACCCGCAUCCCAGCAUCAGGUACAUGGUGCACGUGGCAUGGUCACCUGCCAACGGGCAAGUUCACCUGCAUCCCGACACCAGGCAGCUGCAAACCUCUGGGAGCACAUCUGUCUCAGCACGGGCACCUCCCCUGGCACCGGGUAUCCAGUGGGUACCUCCCCCCRGCAUGGGUACCUGUAUCCCAGCGUGGCGAUCAGCAAACCAGUACAGGGUACAUGGGGCAUCCCAGGACUUCCACAAUGCAUCCCAGCCCUGGCACCUGCAUCCCAUCACUGGCUGCCUUCAGCCCGGGGUGGCUAUCUGCAUGGCGCACGGGCUACCUCCACGGGCUACCUCCCUCCCUGCAUGGGUGCCUGUGUCCCGCACAGGGUGCCAGCACCCUUUCGGGUGCCUGCCUCCCAGCGCAGGCUGCGUUGCCCCAGCCCAGCAGCAAGUGCCCGCACUCUGGCCUGCCUCGGGGUGGCCCUGGCUGGCAGCAGCAGCCUGGGUGCUCGUGUGCCCCCAUGUACCCUCUGUCCGCUCGCUCUUCGGCCAGUGCCAAGACUCCCUCGGCUCAGCCGGCAUCCUGGUGUGCCCCACAGCAGUGCCGGGAUGCCCUGGCCCCGGUACACCCUGCCGCCCACCACGCGCUCAGCACCCGCAGUUUGCCCUACAUUCCCCCCCUCCCUGGCGCACACAGGGGCACCCUUGGGGCAUCCUACACCUUCCUCAGGACUGGCAUGCGCCAAGGCACCCCCGGUCCCCCCUGCUGCUUGACAAGGCCCAGCAGCUCCUGAGCCCGGACCUCUCGCACGCAGCGGCUCCUCAGCCCCCGUGUCCCUGCGAGGCCCCCGCUCUGCRCCCGCUCCAGUGCGGCACGCACAGCCUGCCCUGGGACACCAGCGCUAUUAAUACUCCACCCUUGGGACCCCAGCCCCACUUAGACUCACCAGAGAGCACGGCACGUGCCRCCCACCUUGACAUCGCCUCUCCGUCCCCCACGGCUGCACCGGCCGGCUCCUGGGAGCGCGCAGCAGCUCUGGGCACCGCUCGCCACCGCGAUGCCCGCGGGCGGGCUCCCCGGAGCAAGGCCAAGGCACGCAGCUCGCCGCUGCUCCGCUGA